rnacentral:rRNA from 1 species
CCUACGGGUGGCAGCAGUGAGGAAUAUUGGUCAAUGGGCGUAAGCCUGAACCAGCCAAGUCGCGUGAGGGAUGAAGGUUCUAUGGAUCGUAAACCUCUUUUAUAAGGGAAUAAAGUGUGGGACGUGUCCUAUUUUUUAUGUACCUGAUGAAUAAGGAUCGGCUAACUCCGUGCCAGCAGCCGCGGUAAUACGGAUGAUCCGAGCGUUAUCCGUAUUUAUUGGGUUUAAAGGGUGCGUAGGCGGCCUUUGAAGUCAGCGGUGAAAGUCUGUGGCUCAACCAUAGAAUUGCCGUUGAAACUGGGGGGCUUGAGUAUGUUUGAGGCAGGCGGAAUGCGUGGUGUAGCGGUGAAAUGCUUAGAUAUCACGAAGAACCCCGAUUGCGAAGGCAGCCUGCCAAGCCAUGACUGACGCUGAUGCACGAAAGCGUGGGGAUCAAACAGGAUUAGAUAUCCCAGUAGUC